rnacentral:rRNA from 1 species
AACGAACGCUGGCGGCAUGCCUAACACAUGCAAGUCGAACGAGACCUUCGGGUCUAGUGGCGCACGGGUGCGUAACGCGUGGGAACCUGCCCUUAGGUUCGGAAUAACUCCCCGAAAGGGGUGCUAAUACCGGAUAAUGUCUUCGGACCAAAGAUUUAUCGCCUUUGGAUGGGCCCGCGUUGGAUUAGCUAGUUGGUAGGGUAAAAGCCUACCAAGGCGACGAUCCAUAGCUGGCCUGAGAGGAUGAUCAGCCACACUGGGACUGAGACACGGCCCAGACUCCUACGGGAGGCAGCAGUGGGGAAUAUUGGACAAUGGGCGAAAGCCUGAUCCAGCAAUGCCGCGCGAGUGAUGAAGGCCUUAGGGUUGUAAAGCUCUUUUACCCGGGAUGAUAAUGACAGUACCGGGAGAAUAAGCUCCGGCUAACUCCGUG